rnacentral:rRNA from 1 species
GUGUCAGCAGCCGCGGUAAUACGUAGGUGGCAAGCGUUGUCCGGAAUUACUGGGCGUAAAGGGCGUGUAGGCGGCCUUUUAAGUCAGACGUGAAAUCCCUGGGCUUAACCCAGGAAUUGCGUUUGAAACUGGAGGGCUUGAGGAUCGGAGAGGGCAGUGGAAUUCCCAGUGUAGCGGUGAAAUGCGUAGAUAUUGGGAGGAACACCAGUGGCGAAGGCGACUGCCUGGACGACACCUGACGCUGAGGCGCGAAAGCUAGGGGAGCAAACGGGAUUAGAAACCCCGGUAGUCC